rnacentral:rRNA from 1 species
AACGAACGCUGGCGGCAUGCCUAACACAUGCAAGUCGAACGAGAUCUUCGGGUCUAGUGGCGCACGGGUGCGUAACGCGUGGGAAUCUGCCCUUUGGUUCGGAAUAACAGUUGGAAACGACUGCUAAUACCGGAUGAUGACGAAAGUCCAAAGAUUUAUCGCCGGAGGAUGAGCCCGCGUAGGAUUAGCUAGUUGGUGUGGUAAAGGCGCACCAAGGCGACGAUCCUUAGCUGGUCUGAGGGGAUGAUCAGCCACACUGGGACUGAGACACGGCCCAGACUCCUACGGGAGGCAGCAGUGGGGAAUAUUGGACAAUGGGCGAAAGCCUGAUCCAGCAAUGCCGCGUGAGCGAUGAAGGCCUUAGGGUUGUAAAGCUCUUUUACCCGGGAUGAUAAUGACAGUACCGGGAGAAUAAGCUCCGGCUAACUCCGUGCCAGCCGCCGCGGUAA